rnacentral:rRNA from 1 species
GACAGAGGUCCCGAGCGUUAGGCGGAAUCACUGGUCUUAAAGCGUGUGUAGGCGGAGUUCUAAGUACCUUGUGGAAUCCCACGGCUCAACCGUGGAACUGCUUGGUAUACUGGUUCUCUUGAGCCACCUAGGGGCAACCGGAACAAACGGUGGAGCGGUGAAAUGCGUAGAUAUCGUUUGGAACGCCAAUGGUGAAAACAGGUUGCUGGGGGUGUGCUGACGCUGAGACACGAAAGCCAGGGGAGCAAACGGG